UACCGGCGGCUCGAGUGGUGGCCACUAUUACUGGGCUUAAAGGGUCCGUAGCUUGAUAUGCAAGUCUUUUGAGAAAUCCGCCGGCUUAACUGGUGGGCGUUCAGGGGAAACUGCAUUUCUAGGGACCGGGAGAGGUGAGAGGUACUGCCGGGGUAGGAGUGAAAUCCUGUAAUCCCGGUGGGACCACCUAUGGCGAAGGCAUCUCACCAGAACGGGUCCGACAGUGAGGGACGAAAGCUGGGGGAGCAAACCGGAUUAGAUACCCGGGUAGUCCCAGCUGUAAACGAUGCGCGUUAGGUGUGUCAGUGACCACGUGUCACUGAGGUGCCGAAGGGAAACCGUGAAACGCGCCGCCUGGGGAGUACGGUCGCAAGGCUGAA
rnacentral:rRNA from 1 species